UCCAAGAAAAGAAAGGAAAAUUCCAUUAUGGAUUUCAUUUUGGAUUUUCAUCUAGUUUGGAUUGUGGAUUAUUUUAAAAUUUUAUUUAUUUGUAUUAUCAAUAUAUUUUCUAAUCACCAAUUUAUCCCAUAUAUCAUAUUCAAAAAACGUAUUAUCUCAAAUAAUCUAGUACUCAAACGCACUCCUUAUUUUCUUCCCGUCUCCUUCUCUGAAUCUGUACUGUGACUCUCGCCUUAGCCUGAGACAAACUCCAUCAGUGAUUGAAUUCCGGAGGAGCAAGAAGACUUGGGAACUAAUGGCAGUGUCAGUGGCAACAGGGUUGAAAAGUCUGUUCAUUCUGCUGGGAUGUUUGAUGACAGGCCACCCUUAUCUACACCAUCGCCACUGAUGGCCUUCCUUUUCGUAAAGAACUCCUUACCCCGUGGAUGACUGCAACUUUGAUUGAUUUCUAUAUCAAUAUCCUAGCCUUAGGGGCUUGGGUUAUUUACAAGGAAUCAAAUUGGAUCAGUGCAAUACUUUGGAUAAUUUUAUUG